rnacentral:rRNA from 1 species
UACAGAGGUCUCAAGCGUUGUUCGGAUUCAUUGGGCGUAAAGGGUGCGUAGGCGGCGCGGUAAGUCGGGUGUGAAAUUUCGAGGCUUAACUUCGAAACUGCAUUUGAUACUGCCGUGCUUGAGGACUGGAGAGGAGACUGGAAUUUACGGUGUAGCAGUGAAAUGCGUAGAUAUCGUAAGGAAGACCAGUGGCGAAGGCGAAUCUCUGGACAGUUACUGACACUGAGGCUCGAAGGCGAGGGGAGCAAACGGG